rnacentral:tRNA from 1 species
GGGGUUGUGACUCAGUGGUAGAGCGCUUGCCUAGCAGGUGCUAGGCCCUGGGUUGGAUCCUCAGCACCACA